rnacentral:rRNA from 1 species
CAGUCGCCGCGGGAAUACGUAGGGUGCAAGCGUUAAUCGGAAUUACUUGACGUAAAGCGUGCGCAGGCGGUUAUGUAAGACAGAUGUGAAAUGCCCGGGCUCAACCUGGGAACUGCAUUUGUGACUGCAUGGCUAGAGUGUGUCAGAGGGGGGUAGAAUUCCACGUGUAGCAGUGAAAUGCGUAGAUAUGUGGAGGAAUACCGAUGGCGAAGGCAGCCCCCUGGGAUAACACUGACGCUCAUGCACGAAAGCGUGGGGAGCAAACAGGAUUAGAUACCCCUGUAGUCCCUGUCUCUUAUAA